GUGCCUGUAGCUCAGUGGAUAGAGCGUCAGACUCCGGAUCUGAAGGUCGGGCGUUCGAAUCGCCCCAGGCACGCCA
rnacentral:tRNA from 1 species